rnacentral:rRNA from 1 species
AACGUAGGUGGCGAGCGUUAUCCGGAUUUACUGGGCGUGAAGCGCGUGCAGGCGGUCUGGUAAGUCGGACGUGAAAUCUCUCGGCUCAACCGAGAGAGGCCGUUCGAUACUGCCGGACUUGAGGGCAGUAGAGGAAGGUGGAAUUCCCGGUGUAGUGGUAAAAUGCGUAGAGAUCGGGAGGAACACCAGUGGCGAAGGCGGCCUUCUGGGCUGCCCCUGACGCUCAGACGCGAAAGCUAGGGGAGCGAACGGGAUUAGAAACCCUAGUAGUCC